CCCCGAUAAGGGCUAACCACUCGAAAGGGUGGGGCGCAAAGCGCCGGGCCUACCGCCCCGAGCCACGGGCUAUGGCGGCCGCGCUACCGAA
rnacentral:ncRNA from 1 species